AUUGAACGCUGGCGGCAGGCCUAACACAUGCAAGUCGAACGAGUGGCGGACGGGUGAGUAAUGUCUGGGAAACUGCCUGAUGGAGGGGGAUAACUACUGGAAACGGUAGCUAAUACCGCAUACCAUCAGAUGUGCCCAGAUGGGAUUAGCUAGUUGGUGGGGUAACGGCUCACCAAGGCGACGAUCCCUAGCUGGUCUGAGAGGAUGACCGCCGGCAGUGGAACGGAGGCACGGUCCAGACUCCUACGGGAGGCGGCGGGGGGGAAUAUUGGACAAUGGGCGCAAGCCUGAUGCGGCCAUGCGGCGUGUAUGAAGAAGGCCUUCGGGUUGGAAAGUACUUUCAGCGGGGAGGCGUUACCCGCAGAAGAAGCACCGGCUAACUCCGUGCCAGCCGCCGCGGUAAUAC
rnacentral:rRNA from 1 species